rnacentral:rRNA from 1 species
GGUCAAGCGAACAAGUGCAUGUGGUGGAUGCCUUGGCGAUCACAGGCGAUGAAGGACGCGGUAGCCUGCGAAAAGCUUCGGGGAGCUGGCAAACGAGCUUUGAUCCGGAGAUGUCCGAAUGGGGAAACCCGGCCCGUAUGGGUCAUCCCUUGCUGAAUACAUAGGCAAGGGAAGCGAACGCGGCGAACUGAAACAUCUAAGUAGCUGCAGGAACAGAAAUCAACCGAGAUUCCCAGAGUAGUGGCGAACGAAAUGGGAACAGCCUUGUACUCUUUAGCAGCAUUGUUAGCAGAACGGGAUGGAAAGCCCGGCCAUAGCAGGUGAUAGCCCUGUAUGCGAAAACAGCGUUGUGGAACUAGGUGUACGACAAGUAGGGCGGGACACGUGAAAUCCUGUCUGAAGAUGGGGGGACCAUCCUCCAAGGCUAAAUACUCGUGAUCGACCGAUAGUGAACCAGUACCGUGAGGGAAAGGCGAAAAGAACCCCGGGAGGGGAGUGAAAUAGAUCCUGAAACCGCAUGCAUACAAACAGUCGGAGCCUGGAAACGGGUGACGGCGUACCUUUUGUAUAAUGGGUCAGCGACUUACAUUCAGUGGCAAGCUUAACCGAUUAGGGCAGGCGUAGCGAAAGCGAGUCCGAACAGGGCGUUCAGUCGCUGGGUGUAGACCCGAAACCAGAUGAUCUAUCCAUGGCCAGGUUGAAGGUGCGGUAACACGUACUGGAGGACCGAACCCACUAGUGUUGAAAAACUAGGGGAUGAGCUGUGGAUAGGGGUGAAAGGCUAAACAAAUCUGGAAAUAGCUGGUUCUCUCCGAAAACUAUUUAGGUAGUGCCUCGUGUCUCACCUUCGGGGGUAGAGCACUGUCAUGGUUGGGGGGUCUAUUGCUGAUUACCCCGCCAUAGCAAACUCCGAAUACCGAAGAGUGCAAUCACGGGAGACAGACAUCGGGUGCUAACGUCCGGUGUCAAGAGGGAAACAACCCAGACCGCCAGCUAAGGUCCCAAAGAUUGGCUAAGUGGGAAACGAAGUGGGAAGGCUAAAACAGUCAGGAGGUUGGCUUAGAAGCAGCCACCCUUUAAAGAAAGCGUAAUAGCUCACUGAUCGAGUCGUCCUGCGCGGAAGAUGUAACGGGGCUAAGCCAGUCACCGAAGCUGCGGACGCACGCAAGUGCGUGGUAGGAGAGCGUUCUGUAAGCCUGUGAAGGUGUCUUGUAAAGGAUGCUGGAGGUAUCAGAAGUGCGAAUGCUGACAUGAGUAGCGAUAAAGGGGGUGAAAGGCCCCCUCGCCGUAAGCCCAAGGUUUCCUACGCAACGUUCAUCGGCGUAGGGUGAGUCGGCCCCUAAGGCGAGGCAGAGAUGCGUAGCUGAUGGGAAGCAGGUUAAUAUUCCUGCACCGUCGUAUGAUGCGAUGGGGGGACGGAUCGCGGAAGGUUGUCCGGGUGUUGGAAGUCCCGGUCCCUGCAGUGGAGAAGGCGCUUAGGCAAAUCCGGGCGCGGGAUUCAAGGCUGUGGGGCGAGCGACCAUGUGUCGCGAAGCAAUCGGAAGUGGUUCCAAGAAAAGCCUCUAAGCUUCAGUCAUACGAGACCGUACCGCAAACCGACACAGGUGGGCGAGAUGAGUAUUCUAAGGCGCUUGAGAGAACUCGGGAGAAGGAACUCGGCAAAUUGGUACCGUAACUUCGGGAUAAGGUACGCCCUGGUAGCUUGACUGGCCUGCGCCAGAAGGGUGAAGGGGUUGCAAUAAACUGGUGGCUGCGACUGUUUAAUAAAAACACAGCACUCUGCAAACACGAAAGUGGACGUAUAGGGUGUGACGCCUGCCCGGUGCCGGAAGAUUAAAUGAUGGGGUGCAAGCUCUUGAUUGAAGUCCCGGUAAACGGCGGCCGUAACUAUAACGGUCCUAAGGUAGCGAAAUUCCUUGUCGGGUAAGUUCCGACCUGCACGAAUGGCGUAACGAUGGCCACACUGUCUCCUCCCGAGACUCAGCGAAGUUGAAGUGUUUGUGAUGAUGCAAUCUCCCCGCGGCUAGACGGAAAGACCCCAUGAACCUUUACUGUAGCUUUGCAUUGGACUUUGAACCGAUCUGUGUAGGAUAGGUGGGAGGCUUUGAAACCGGGACGCUAGUUCCGGUGGAGCCGUCCUUGAAAUACCACCCUGGUUUGUUUGAGGUUCUAACCUUGGCCCGUGAAUCCGGGUCGGGGACAGUGCAUGGUAGGCAGUUUGACUGGGGCGGUCUCCUCCCAAAGUGUAACGGAGGAGUUCGAAGGUACGCUUGGUACGGUCGGACAUCGUACCUAAAGUGCAAUGGCAAAAGCGUGCUUAACUGCGAGACCGACAAGUCGAGCAGGUGCGAAAGCAGGACAUAGUGAUCCGGUGGUUCUGUAUGGAAGGGCCAUCGCUCAACGGAUAAAAGGUACUCUGGGGAUAACAGGCUGAUACCGCCCAAGAGUUCAUAUCGACGGCGGUGUUUGGCACCUCGAUGUCGGCUCAUCUCAUCCUGGGGCUGUAGCCGGUCCCAAGGGUAUGGCUGUUCGCCAUUUAAAGAGGUACGUGAGCUGGGUUUAAAACGUCGUGAGACAGUUUGGUCCCUAUCUGCCGUGGGCGUUGGAAUCUUGACGGGGGCUGCUCCUAGUACGAGAGGACCGGAGUGGACGUACCGCUGGUGUACCUGUUGUCUCGCCAGAGGCAUCGCAGGGUAGCUAUGUACGGAAGAGAUAACCGCUGAAAGCAUCUAAGCGGGAAACUCGCCUGAAGAUGAGGAUUCCCUGGAGGCUUGACCUCCUUGAAGGGUCGUUCGAGACCAGGACGUUGAUAGGCUGGGUGUGGAAGCGCAGUAAUGCGUUAAGCUAACCAGUACUAAUUGCCCGUAAGGCUUGAUCCU